GCUGGGGGGAGGGCGGCUGGAAAAGUUUGCGUAGCGCAACUUGGGCGGCGGCGAAAGCCGAGCGGCCGGCCGGCAAGUUCUCUGCGUGUGGCUGGCCCUCCGGCUCCGCGUGCGGGCGGACCGCGGCAGGUGGGCUCCCGGGCCGCAGACGUGGGUCCCAGGCGCCGAGGGAAGGCGAGGCCCGGGCGGCGAGGAGGCGCAUCACCUCGGCCACUGGGCGGCGGCCCGGGGAGCAGCAAAAUCUCCCCGGGAGGCGGUUUCUUCGCGGCCACCGCGCGCUCAGGAGUUUUCAGCCACUUUGCCGCCGGCUCGGUGGUCGGUGCAGAGAGGAGCUAUAGAAAAACGGUCGAGGAGAGGGGCUGCCCCCCGGGGGUGCACUGUCGUAGGAAAGUGAAAUUUCCAGCCUGAAAACCGCCAGCCCCUCCCUUCUAAAAAGAGGGAAGAAAAACUCGCGUUUUGUUCUGACACGCGGGUGAAUCAUGAGUGUGUGUCGUUUCCCCACAGAGUUUUGGAACACCAAUGUGAGUGUUUUUAUUCAGAAAAAUGGAAAAGACUUAUUUGAGAACUGGCACUGUAAUUGAGAAAACUUGAUUACCUUGAUGGUUAAUGCAAUAUAUAUGUCUGUCUCCUGUGGAUCUAGUAAUAAGAUCUUUUAACUCCAUUCUUCCCUGGCACUGUAUCAGCGAUGUGAAGUCAGGGAGGCCAAAUUAAGUCUGUGUAAAUUUCCCUGGUGUUGUCACUCUGUCUUCUGAAUAGUCUAGUCGGUCCAAGGAUAAUGUCAGUGCUCCAGAAGUACUGUGUCAACGUAACUUAUUCCAAGACACAAUCAUUGGCCAAGUGUUACC